UUAAUCAUAAGUGGCUUUACAAAAAUUCAAUUGUAAACGUUUUUUAAAAUUUUAAACAAAAAUAAGGAUAUUUUCUGUAACGAUUUUAGUUGUUCUGGUAUAAUUCAAAAAAUAUUAUUCAUAGAAACUUGAAAUUUUCCAACAUUAAGUAUUUAUUUUAGAUUUUAGUCUAGCAAUUGCAAAUAUAUCACGCAAUGGAAGAAUCUUUGCUCAAAACACAUGAGUAAGGAUUGUAAUAUUUUAUAAGCCCAUGUGUCGCCUAUACCUAAGACAUGAUUUGUCUUCGUGUAAGUAAUGCGAUAUUACCAAUACCAUAGUACAAAAGUAUAAAUUGUGUCACUUUCUAAAAAUGUAUUGAGUUUAGUCUUAAGUGUGCGCUCUGCAGUGUAGAGUAUUCGUUUAUUUAUAUAUACGGCAUACACCUAUGUAAAUUAUAUAUAAUAUGGUGACAUGGCUUAAUACUGCUUAAUAAUAUACAUAAUUUUUGUUUUAACUUUUUUUAAAACUUUUAGAGUAAGUAGUGCCAAGGAUUUACGUUUCUGUAAAAGCAAUUCAUUUUAAUAUAUUACAAAAAAACUCCUAUCUAUAAGAUACUAACCGUUUCCAAUAGUAUGGCGAUUAGCGUUCGAACUGAUGACGCAAAUAAUAAUAAUAAUAAUUGAGUUUCGGAAACGGCAUGCCUAAGGGAUAGUUCUGCAAUUUGCUGUCGACGAACAAAUUAAUACGUUUACGAGCAGUAGGCGACGCGAGCAUCGCCGUCGUACGGUAAUAUAAUUUGGCAAGGACCGACGUGACCGCCGAUGGUUCACCGACCUCGGUGCGCUAACGGCGCGACGGCACUAAUAAUAAUAAUAAUAAUAAUAAUAAUAAUAAUAAUAUGAUGGUCGUUCUCUCCCGCGCUCUGAAACUGGCAAUACGGCAGAGCGCACAUAAUAUCAUAACAUAAUAUUCAAUAUAAUAUAAUAUGCAUAAAUAAAAAUAUAACGCAAUGCGAUCCACUUGAAAUUUGUCAUCGAAAAAAAAAAUCAUUCUGAGGCCACUCGGCGUGAUAGUGUCGUCCCUAUUCCGCGGCGAGCGCUGCAAAAGCGCAAUCGACAGAGGCGCGCGCCAUUUGUAGGUACCUAUAUUGUGUUUUCGACGGCACGUGCACACACACACAUACAUACACAUACACAAAGUUCGGGUAGUUCAGCGGGAUGUAUCCGGCCCUUUCCUGACCACCUACUCUCCUCCAACCAACUCAAACAUUCGCAAUCCCAGUGACCGCCUCCGACCGACUGCAGCUGUAUACAGAGUGAUUUACCAAGCAUCCACAGAUCUAUUUUAUAUUUUUAUCCUUCCAUUAUACAUUAAUACUUAAAUUCUGGUUUUAUAAUUGUUUUAAUCCUACGCUUUAAGACCACAUUAUAAUAAUACCUUAAAAUACUUAAAAUAUUUAUGCUAUUUAAGGAGAGUCUUAUGAUAACAGUUGCUUUCCUUUUAUCAAAAUAGAUUUGAAACCCAACCGUUUUUACUGUAAAUUGUUUCGUAGCUAAUUUUAUUUAAAAUUUGGGUAUACAUAAAUGAAUUUAAAUUCAAUUAUUAUUAAAUUUUUACAAUUAUUUUCUUAGUUAUUUCACUAUACGUGUAUUAAGAUCGAUGAUAAAAAGCUUAGGAGAUUGGGAACUAUAAUGAUUUUAUAUUAAUCAUUAAUAAUUAUUCAUCUAUUAGCAUUUUAUAACUUGUAAAAGUGUUCUGUUUAUUACUAAUUGACUAAUUACUAAAUAAAUAAUAAUAGUACAUCUGUAUCAAAUUAAUAUUUAUGUAUAACUAUUUUCUAUAGCGCCAAUAUUUUCUAAAUAAUCUUAACCUAUUAAUUAUUAUCAAGGAGUCUGGCACUAUUCUUACCAUCUAAUAAAGUUUAAUAGCUCAGAAAAUUUUGAAUUCUGAUGUAUAAUAAUUAUACAUUUAAAAAAAACCAUUGGCUUGGAAAUUUAACUUAAAAUAAUGAAGUUAUUGUUUGAAAAAAAUAAGUUUGCACCACCACAAGACGCUUUUUAUAUGACAUUUAUUAUUAAAAAUAUUUUUAAAUUAUAAAGUUUUUACUUAAAAAUUCUAAAAAUUUGAAUUUAAAUAAAUUCAUUAUUAGAAGAAAAAAUAAGCAUCAUACAUAUUUGAUGAAUCACCCAAAUUUAGGAACAAAAAAAAACAUGAUAUACCUACCUAACAUCGAGUAAAGUAACUCUACCCUCUGCUGUACUAAAUAUAUAUAUAUAUUAUGUAUGUAUAGCCCGGUAAGCUAUACAGAUGUUCUUUAUUUUAACGCUCAACCGGUUAUUUCGUCAAUAUUUUUCAUACUUGCAUUUUUUCUUUCUUUCUUUUUUUUUCAUUCAAGUAUCUUCUUUGUUAUAUAUUAUUAUAUAUAUUUUAUUUUUGGCGAACGGGUUUAUCAGUUUCUUUUUGGACCGAGUGGAUGUUGAAUACGAUGAGGAGGAGGAGCAGCAGAAGAAGGCGGCUGCUGGUCUCGAAUCACAAAAGAAUCGUUGAACCAUGCUGAGGUGACAGCGCGGGCUGGCUGAGAUUGAGAAAUCCGCGUAGAGUCCCUAGUUUUAUUUUUCGUUUUUUUUUUCAUUUAUUCUCACCAAGCAAUUUUUACUCCACACCACAUUAUGAUCCGACACCGAUUAUUAGUGCGUUUCUGCGGCGAGUCUAUAGAAUAUGUGCCAGCGCGCGGAAGUCGUUCGACAGAAUUUCAAAUUAAACCGUUUUUUACUUACAUAUAGGCAUAUAUUAUAUACAUCACAUACGUAUAUCGCGUCCAAUCCACUCGAAAUAAUAACGAGUUAGCGUUCAUUCUUCAGUCUAUUUAUUUUAGUACCCGACGGACAUCUGGAAUUUUCGAACGA